rnacentral:rRNA from 1 species
GUAGGUGGCAAGCGUUGUCCGGAAUUAUUGGGCGUAAAGCGCGCGCAGGCGGUUCUUUAAGUCUGAUGUGAAAGCCCACGGCUCAACCGUGGAGGGUCAUUGGAAACUGGAGAACUUGAGUACAGAAGAGGAAAGCGGAAUUCCACGUGUAGCGGUGAAAUGCGUAGAGAUGUGGAGGAACACCAGUGGCGAAGGCGGCUUUCUGGUCUGUAACUGACGCUGAGGCGCGAAAGCGUGGGGGAGCAAACAGGAUUAGAUACCCUGGUAGUCCACGCCGUAAACGAUGAGUGCUAAGUGUUAGGGGGUUUCCGCCCCUUAGUGCUGCAGCUAACGCAUUAGGCACUCCGCCUGGGAGUACGGCCGCAAGGCUG